rnacentral:rRNA from 2 species
CGGGGAGGUAGUGACGAAAAAUAACGAUACGGGACUCAUCCGAGGCCCCGUAAUCGGAAUGAGUACACUUUAAAUCCUUUAACGAGGACCAAUUGGAGGGCAAGUCUGGUGCCAGCAGCCGCGGUAAUUCCAGCUCCAAUAGCGUAUAUUAAAGUUGUUGCGGUUAAAAAGCUCGUAGUUGAAUCUGUGUGUCACAGUGUCGGUUCACCGCUCGCGGUGUUUAACUGGCAUUAUGUGGUACGUCCUACCGGUGGGCUUAGCUCCUUGCGGGCGGUCCAACUAAUAUCCCAUCGCGGUGCUCUUCACUGAGUGUCGAGGUGGGCCGGUACGUUUACUUUGAACAAAUUAGAGUGCUCAAAGCAGGCUACCUUCGCCUGAAUACUCUGUGCAUGGAAUAAUGGAAUAGGACCUCGGUUCUAUUUUGUUGGUUUUCGGAACCCCGAGGUAAUGAUUAAUAGGGACAGAUGGGGGCAUUCGUAUUGCGACGUUAGAGGUGAAAUUCUUGGAUCGUCGCAAGACGGACAGAAGCGAAAGCAUUUGCCAAAAAUGUUUUCAUUAAUCAAGAACGAAAGUUAGAGGUUCGAAGGCGAUCAGAUACCGCCCUAGUUCUAACCAUAAACGAUGCCAGCUAGCGAUCCGCCGAAGUUCCUCCGAUGACUCGGCGGGCAGCUUCCGGGAAACCAAAGCUUUUGGGUUCCGGGGGAAGUAUGGUUGCAAAGCUGAAACUUAAAGGAAUUGACGGAAGGGCACCACCAGGAGUGGAGCCUGCGGCUUAAUUUGACUC